AAGUCGUAACAAGGUUUCCGUAGGUGAACCUGCGGAAGGAUCAUUAAUAAUUUGCCGAACCUUAGCGUUAGCGAGGUUCCGCGAUCAACUUAUAUUUAAAACCCAACUCUUAAAUGUUAUAAUUAUGUAUUUUUUUUAAAUGAUAAAAAAUUAAAAGAUCACUUUCAACAACGGAUCUCUUGGCUCUC
rnacentral:misc_RNA from 1 species